rnacentral:rRNA from 1 species
GUAGGGAAUCUUCGGCAAUGGACGAAAGUCUGACCGAGCAACGCCGCGUGAGUGAAGAAGGUUUUCGGAUCGUAAAACUCUGUUGGUAGAGAAGAACGUUGGUGAGAGUGGAAAGCUCAUCAAGUGACGGUAACUACCCAGAAAGGGACGGCUAACUACGUGCCAGCAGCCGCGGUAAUACGUAGGUCCCGAGCGUUGUCCGGAUUUAUUGGGCGUAAAGCGAGCGCAGGUGGUUUAUUAAGUCUGGUGUAAAAGGCAGUGGCUCAACCAUUGUAUGCAUUGAAAACUGGUAGAGUUGAGUGCAGGAGAUGAGAGUGGAAUUCCAUGUGCAGCGGUGAAAUGCGUAUAUAUAUGGAGGAACACCGGUGGCGAAAGCGGCUCUCUGGCCUGUAACUGACACUGAGGCUCGAAAGCGUGGGGAGCAAACAGGAUUAGAAACCCUGGUAGUCC